rfam:Daphnia pulex DAPPTscaffold_296_Cont8430, whole genome shotgun sequence.
UCCCAUAUUGUCUAGUGGUUAGGAUACCUGGCUCUCACCGAGAAGGCCCGGAUUCAAUUCCCGGUAUGGGAA